rnacentral:rRNA from 1 species
UACAGAGGUCUCAAGCGUUGUUCGGAUUCAUUGGGCGUAAAGGGCGCGUAGGUGGCGGGACAAGCGUGCGGUGAAAGCUCGGGGCUCAACCCCGCGUCGGCCGUGCGAACUGUUUUGCUGGAGCACUGUAGAGGCAGGCGGAAUUCCGGGUGUAGCGGUGGAAUGCGUAGAGAUCCGGAAGAACACCGGUGGCGAAGGCGGCCUGCUGGGCAGUUGCUGACACUGAGGCGCGACAGCGUGGGGAGCAAACAGG